GACGAACGCUGGCGGCGUGCUUAACACAUGCAAGUCGAGCGGUAAGGCCCUUUCGGGGGUACACGAGCGGCGAACGGGUGAGUAACACGUGGGUGACCUGCCCUCAGCUCUGGGAUAAGCCUGGGAAACCGGGUCUAAUACUGGAUAUGACUCCAUGACGCAUGUUGUGGGGUGGAAAGCCUUGUGCGGCUGAGGAUGGGCCCGCGGCCUAUCAGCUUGUUGGUGGGGUGAGGCCUACCAAGGCGACAACGGGUAGCCGGCCUGAGAGGGCGACCGGCCACACUGGGACUGAGACACGGCCCAGACUCCUACGGGAGGCAGCAGUGGGGAAUCUUGCGCAAUGGGCGAAAGCCUGACGCAGCGACGCCGCGUGAGGGAUGACGGCCU
rnacentral:rRNA from 1 species